rnacentral:rRNA from 1 species
GACGAACGCUGGCGGCGUGCCUAAUACAUGCAAGUAGGACGCAGUUGCGAACGGGUGAGUAACGCGUAGGUAACUGCCUAUUAGAGGGGGAUAACUAUUGGAAACGAUAGCUAAUACCGCAUACUAGUAGAUGGACCUGCGUUGUAUUAGCUAGUAGGUAGGGUAAUGGCCUACCUAGGCGACGAUACAUAGCCGACCUGAGAGGAGGAUCGGCCACACUGGGACUGAGACACGGCCCAGACUCCUACGGGAGGCAGCAGUAGGGAAUCUUCGGCAAUGGGGGGAACCCUGACCGAGCAACGCCGCGUGAGUGAAGAAGGUUUUCGGAUCGGAAAGCUCUGUUGUUAAGGAAGCGGUACUUGACCAGAAAGGGACGGCUAACUACGUGCCAGCCGCCGCGGUAAUUC